rnacentral:rRNA from 1 species
CCUACGGGUGGCAGCAGUGAGGAAUAUUGGUCAAUGGGCGCGAGCCUGAACCAGCCAAGUAGCGUGAAGGAUGACUGCCCUACGGGUUGUAAACUUCUUUUAUCAAGGAAUAAAGUGAGGCACGUGUGCCUUUUUGUAUGUACUUUAUGAAUAAGGAUCGGCUAACUCCGUGCCAGCAGCCGCGGUAAUACGGAGGAUCCGAGCGUUAUCCGUAUUUAUUGGGUUUAAAGGGAGCGUGGAUGGGUUGUUAAGUCAGUUGUGAAAGUUUGCGGCUCAACCGUAAAAUUGCAAUUGAUACUGGCAGCCUUGAGUACAGUUGAGGUAGGCGGAAUUCGUGGUGUAGCGGUGAAAUGCUUAGAUAUCACGAAGAACCCCGAUUGCGAAGGCAGCUUACUAAACUGUGACUGACAUUGAUGCUCGAAAGUGUGGGUAUCAAACAGGAUUAGAUACCCUAGUAGUC